rnacentral:tRNA from 1 species
GGGCGGGUAGCUCAGUUGGUUAGAGCAGCGGAUUUACAUUCCGCAGGUCGGAGGUUCGAGCCCUCCUCCGCCCA